rnacentral:rRNA from 1 species
CCUACGGGAGGCUGCAGUGGGGAAUAUUGGGCAAUGGGCGCAAGCCUGACCCAGCAACGCCGCGUGAAGGAAGAAGGCUUUCGGGUUGUAAACUUCUUUUCUCAGGGACGAAGAAAGUGACGGUACCUGAGGAAUAAGCCACGGUUAACUACGUGCCAGCAGCCGCGGUAAUACGUAGGUGGCAAGCGUUAUCCGGAUUUACUGGGUGUAAAGGUCGUGUAGGCGGGACUGCAAGUCAGAUGUGAAAACCACGGGCUCAACCGGUGGCCUGCAUUUGAAACUGUAGUUCUUGAGUACUGGAGAGGCAGGCGGAAUUCCUAGUGUAGCGGUGAAAUGCGUAGAUAUUAGGAGGAACACCAGUGGCGAAGGCGGUCUGCUGGACAGCAACUGACGCUGAGGCGCGAAAGCGUGGGGAGCAAACAGGAUUAGAUACCCUUGUAGUC